GUGUUUUAUAUUUCAAAUAAACAUACAAGACUUUUUAGACGUGUGUAAAGAUCAGCGGCGAGCCGUUAUCCAGCUCACCACCGUGUGUGUGCACAGGGGUGGAUAUAUGCUCCGUCAGCGUGCAGCCCGAGAGCGCACAGCGUCAGGAUAAAGAGCCAGAAAGCUCAACACAUUAAUGAUCCUUCCGCAGGUUCACCUACGGAAA
rnacentral:misc_RNA from 1 species